AAAAGAGGAUCCCCUCCAGGGAUCCAUGGUCUCAUUGGGAUUUUCCUGUUUGGUCUGUGUCCUGUUCUUGAGUCUCCGCAGGCAGCAUUUCUUCCUGUGACAAUAUGGUGUAAGACAAAAUUGUGGCCUGCCAUGAAGUUGUGAGAGAAAAGCAUCCCUCAUUUCUUCAGGAAAGGCCACUGCCGUUCCCUCCGGCUCCUCUUCUCAGGAGUUUGUGCAUUCAUGAGGUGAAUUCCUUGGAAGAUGAGGGCCAAGUCUUAUUCUUCUCAGUCUCUUCUGCAUCUAGCAGAAGAAUAAUGGUUGCACAGAAAAUCUUGGUUCAGUGGUUGAGUGAAUGAAUGGAUGAACAGGCUCUUGCACACAAAGAAGAGACAUGAUGUAUUUGCAUCCUUCCCUGCUUCAGCCAGGUAAGAUCUACUAGCUCAAACUUAUCACAGCCCUGUUUCUGAGCUGGUCCCACGAAUAGAGUUUUUGUUUUUCACCAGCAAGCAGGCUGUUUCCAAGCUGGGAUGAUAAUUGUUGAUGUGGCACU
rnacentral:lncRNA from 1 species